rnacentral:sRNA from 1 species
AAUUGUCCCGAAUCCCUGCAGGUCAGUACCUGGAAGAUUCCAUAAAGUCGGGGUGCUUGAGGGCGUAGGGCCGAGACCGUCGCGGGUACUGAGGCGCCUCCGUCGUCUCUCCCACUCGCCGCCCGCUUUCCAAGACAUAUGUCCCGCUUGCAGCCCAUUUCGAUGCUGCGAAACGUCUUUCUGUAGGUUGCGGCACAACGCCAGGCAAAAGAAGAGGAAGGAAUUUAAUCCUAAUCGGUGAAGGUCGAUUUGAGGGUCUGCUGUAGCAGGUGGCUCCGCUUGAAGCGAGGGAGGAAGUUUCCUCCGAUCAGUAGAGAUUGGAAAGAUUGUUGGGCGUGGCACACCACUAGGGAAAAGAAGAAGGGGCGAACUGCUUGUCUUGAGGAGGUCAACCUCCAGAAUCAGCUCUUGUGGCCUUGAAGUGGCUGAAGACGAUCACCCUCCACAGGCUUGAGCCCAGUCCCACAGCCUUCCUCCCCCAGCCUGAGUGACUACUCUAUUCCUUG